rnacentral:lncRNA from 1 species
GGAGAGGCGGGACUUCCGGUCGGCGCCGCCUGCGAAGUGCUCCGCGGCCGGCGGAGACGCGGGCAGCCAGCGAUGGCCGCGGAGGGGGCGAACUGGGUUCCGGCCCUCGGAGGCUGACGGAAGGCGGUGGCUGAGGAGCGGCGCCUCUGGUUGAGCGCUCGCCGUGUGUCCCGCACCUGUCUGUCCUGCCGCCGCCCGCACAGCACAGCACCGCACAUCUCCAGUCGGACUGGCUACAUUUCAAGGGCUCAACCAUCACGCGUUACCAGUGGCUACUGCAUCAGACUGUGCAGUGCUAGAUGGGGAGUCAGAAGAGAAACCAAGUGAUUUCCAUGUCAAGUGGUGAACAGGCUAAGAAGAAAACCUACUCCGAGUGAAGAUGAUGAAGAUGAAGACCGUUAUGAUCCACUUCCACUUAAUGAAAGAUGAAUAUAUUUUCUCUUCCUAAUGAUUUUUUUUUUUUUUUUUUUGGAGACAGAGUCUCGCUGCAUCCCCCAGGCUGGAGUACAGUGGUAUGAUCUUGGCUCACUGCAACCUCUGCCUCCUAGGUUCAAGUGAUUCUCCUGCCUCAGUCUCCCGAGUAGCUGGGAUUACAGGCGCCCACCACCAUGCCCGGCUAAUUUUUGUAUUUUUAGUAGAGAUGGGGUUUCACUAUGUUGGCCAGGCUGGUCUCAAACUCCUGACCUCAGGUGAUCUGCCUGACUUGGCCUCCCAAAGUGCUGGGAUUACAGGCAUGAGCCACCUUGCCUGGCCUCUUCCUAAUGAUUUUUUAAAGUACAUCUUGUUUUCUCUGUCUUACUUUAUCAUAAAAAUAUAUGAUACAAAUAAAAUACAGAAUAUGUGUUAAUGGACUGUGUAUGUUAUGAGUAAGCCUUCCAGUCGACAGUGGGCUAUUAUUGGUGGUUAAGUUUUGGGGGAGUGUGUGUUCAAGGGUCAACCGCACUUCCUGAGGGCACUGUGAGAACUAAGUUAAAUAACCCACUUUUACAAUCUUUGGAACCGGGGGCAGGUGGCUGGGGCUCACACCUGUAAUUACAGCACUUUGGGAGGCUGAGGCAGGAAGAUCCCUUGAGGCCAAGAGUUUGAGACCAGCCUGGGCAACAAAGCAAGACUCUGUCUCUACAAAAAUUUU